ACGCUGGCGGCAGGCUUAACACAUGCAAGUCGAACGGUAACAUAAAGAAGCUUGCUUCUUUGAUGACGAGUGGCGGACGGGUGAGUAAUGCUUGGGAAUCUAGCUUAUGGAGGGGGAUAACUACGGGAAACUGUAGCUAAUACCGCGUAAUAUCGAAAGAUUAAAGUGUGGGACCUUCGGGCCACAUGCCAUAGGAUGAGCCCAAGUGGGAUUAGGUAGUUGGUGAGGUAAAGGCUCACCAAGCCGACGAUCUCUAGCUGGUCUGAGAGGAUGACCAGCCACACUGGGACUGAGACACGGCCCAGACUCCUACGGGAGGCAGCAGUGGGGAAUAUUGCGCAAUGGGGGCAACCCUGACGCAGCCAUGCCGCGUGAAUGAAGAAGGCCUUCGGGUUGUAAAGUUCUUUCGGUAGCGAGGAAGGCAUUUAGUUUAAUAGACUAGAUGAUUGACGUUAACUACAGAAGAAGCACCGGCUAAC
rnacentral:rRNA from 1 species